GCACAAUAAACUUUAUUUGAGCAUUUUGUCAUUGAAAAAUUGAUUUAGUGUGAUUAAUGAAAAUUUGAAGUUAAUUAUGAAUUGUGUUGCCAUCUUGUGAAUGAAAUUGUGACUUUAGAAAUUUAUUGGAUUUCUCAUGAAUCAUUUGAAUAAAAUGUUUGAAAUUGAUUUUUAAUUUACACUUAGCAUGACAGUAUCUUAUUAUUCCUCCUCCAUUUAUGGGGUGAGAUCGGUUAUCUUUCCUCCCUCUCUGGUUUACCAGUUGAGGUUGUGGAUCUGAUGAGUACUCAUUAGCUAGCUAGUCACCUCCCUCAUUGAUUUCGAUUAGUGGGGUUGUAGAUUGCUUUGUCGUGGUGUACAACACGGCAUUGAUCGAAAAUUUUGUGUCAUUGCUUAAGUUGUGUAUGAUGUGGCAACACUGUGUUUCUUAAAUUAUUUGACUAAAUUAUGUUAUUAUGAGUUUUGAUAAUUUGAGAAAUAUUUAAAUUGUGUUUUGUCAACGAAUGAUUUAUGUAUUGUAUUUUAAAUUUUUAUUGUGCACAACUGAGUAUUUUUAUACUCAGUGAUAGUUUAAUUUACUAUCGCAAAUAAGAGUAAGGAGAAAGCAGCAGAGUGAGCUGCGGGAUUGACAAGAACUUCUUGAUCCCUUUUAUACAGUUGAAAAGAAUACCGGGAAAGAACCCGAGGAACCGAGUCAAGGCCAAGAGGCGACUCGCUUGAGAUAUAGAGACUAGAGGAGCAGCAGAUUAAGCUGCUGAGGAUUGAGGAUUUAUCAGCUUGAAGUUAUCGGGUAUAAUUUAUACCCUGCCUGUAAAUAUUUAUUUUGAUGUAUGUAUUGCGCAUAAAUGUACGGACAUGUAAAUCGGUCUUGAGCAGUUUGUACAAAAUUUGUAUAAAGUUGUAAUAAAAUUUAGUGGAAUUUUCAUA